AGAGUUUGAUCAUGGCUCAGAUUGAACGCUGGCGGCAUGCCUUACACAUGCAAGUCGAACGGCAGCAUAGGAGCUUGUUCCUGAUGGCGAGUGGCGAACGGGUGAGUAAUAUAUCGGAACGUGCCCUAGAGUGGGGGAUAACUAGUCGAAAGACUAGCUAAUACCGCAUACGAUCUACGGAUGAAAGUGGGGGAUCGCAAGACCUCAUGCUCCUGGAGCGGCCGAUAUCUGAUUAGCUAGUUGGUGGGGUAAAAGCCUACCAAGGCAACGAUCAGUAGCUGGUCUGAGAGGACGACCAGCCACACUGGGACUGAGACACGGCCCAGACUCCUACGGGAGGCAGCAGUGGGGAAUUUUGGACAAUGGGGGCAACCCUGAUCCAGCAAUGCCGCGUGAGUGAAGAAGGCCUUCGGGUUGUAAAGCUCUUUUGUCAGGGAAGAAACGGUAGUAGCGAAUAACUAUUACUAAUGACGGUACCUGAAGAAUAAGCACCGGCUAACUACGUGCCAGCAGCCGCGGUAAU
rnacentral:rRNA from 1 species